AGGUUAUAGCAUUAGUAGAGUCCUGUACCACUUGGAGUUUAUGGGGGCACCUAGCAACACCUCGAUGAAUAACCUGCUGGGAGACUGUGCGGCCGUUAUUGACAGGCGUCAACCGCCAUCUGUGCGGGACAAUGCUGAACGAAGACGGGCCCCGGGUGUGGGAGUUGCAUACAUGCCGUUUCCUCCUGCCAUUGGAGGUUUCGGUCUUAUUCCUUUGCACGAACAUCUGCGUGCACGAUUUGCCUGUUUGUCCUGUCGUGCAAUCCUUGGUAUGGCUGGUAUGUUGGAAACUAACCCCAUGUGGACUCGGGUAUUACUGGCAAUAUUGCGUCAUAUCCACCCGGCAGCCCACCCAUUAUGUCUGUUGGCCGUUAGGGGAGAUGUACGAGAUGGCCGUGUCACUACUAUCCUGGGUAGGCCUGUGCCGAAUGAUUGUCCGGCAUUAACACGAAUUCUAUCAGCUAUGACUUCCCUACCACAACCUGUCCUUCUGGAUGCGCAACAUCUAGCUCCGGGUCCUUGGUGUUACCAUAUCCCUCUUUGGGGAAACCCUUUGCUAAAUGACGCUCAGUUGGACGAACAUUUUGGUGAUCUUAGAAAUUUGCGUGGGUUAGAUACCGUAGGUAUGGCCGUACGAUGCCACACAGCUAUGUCGUCUACGUGGAAUUUGGUGCGCAUGGUUGGUGUACAAGGCCUUACUGAGGCGCAACACUUUCAUUGUACGAAUCUGUUUCGUACUAUCGUGGUACGGGGCAUAUUAGGGCUUACGCCGAGGCAUCCCCUGCCGGCAUCGUGUCAGUCGGGGGCGACUGCCAUAACGCGUAUAUCGCAACUUAUCGACCGCCUACCCCCGCAAUGGACCAUAGCGGCGAUAGUAGCUAUUAAUGACAGANACCAUGAAAUACCGCCUCCGNNNNNNNNNNNNNNNNNNNNNNNNNNNNNNNNNNNNNNNNNNNNNNNNNNUUCCCCGCUUCAAAGCUGUCAUGGAUGUNUUCCACGCAGCCUCGGGACAACGACUCAACGAUCGCAAGGUUGAGCUCUUGCCGCUUGGCACAUUCACCCGCAAUACAAGACCGGCGGACUUACCACCAGCGAAUGCUAUUGGUAAUCAUUUAAUCAUCCCGGUUACUAACCUAACGCAUAUGGCGAACUCUGUGGGUAAUGAACAAGUAGCAGACGAGGUUGAACAGCAGCCUAUUGUAGGUUCAAUAGUUGGCGAUUUCAGGGUGCUCUCAGUAGCUACAACCCUAGGGAUUCGCGUCGCAGAUAGGCCUUCGCUCGAACAGCAAUCGGUUUCGCUUUCUCCUGUGAGGAAUAGCUUGCAGUUAGUCGCUGGGAUGCAUUUAUCAGCUUUUGGUCGAGCUUUUGCGGUAUCAGGUUAUAGCAUUAGUAGAGUCCUGUACCACUUGGAGUUUAUGGGGGCACCUAGCAACACCUCGAUGAAUAACCUGCUGGGAGACUGUGCGGCCGUUAUUGACAGGCGUCAACCGCCAUCUGUGCGGGACAAUGCUGAACGAAGACGGGCCCCGGGUGUGGGAGUUGCAUACAUGCCGUUUCCUCCUGCCAUUGGAGGUUUCGGUCUUAUUCCUUUGCACGAACAUCUGCGUGCACGAUUUGCCUGUUUGUCCUGUCGUGCAAUCCUUGGUAUGGCUGGUAUGUUGGAAACUAACCCCAUGUGGACUCGGGUAUUACUGGCAAUAUUGCGUCAUAUCCACCCGGCAGCCCACCCAUUAUGUCUGUUGGCCGUUAGGGGAGAUGUACGAGAUGGCCGUGUCACUACUAUCCUGGGUAGGCCUGUGCCGAAUGAUUGUCCGGCAUUAACACGAAUUCUAUCAGCUAUGACUUCCCUACCACAACCUGUCCUUCUGGAUGCGCAACAUCUAGCUCCGGGUCCUUGGUGUUACCAUAUCCCUCUUUGGGGAAACCCUUUGCUAAAUGACGCUCAGUUGGACGAACAUUUUGGUGAUCUUAGAAAUUUGCGUGGGUUAGAUACCGUAGGUAUGGCCGUACGAUGCCACACAGCUAUGUCGUCUACGUGGAAUUUGGUGCGCAUGGUUGGUGUACAAGGCCUUACUGAGGCGCAACACUUUCAUUGUACGAAUCUGUUUCGUACUAUCGUGGUACGGGGCAUAUUAGGGCUUACGCCGAGGCAUCCCCUGCCGGCAUCGUGUCAGUCGGGGGCGACUGCCAUAACGCGUAUAUCGCAACUUAUCGACCGCCUACCCCCGCAAUGGACCAUAGCGGCGAUAGUAGCUAUUAAUGACAGAAACCAUGAAAUACCGCCUCCGCAAGAGGCCUGGAAAAGAAUUGUCAAAAGCUUGGGAUGGAGAUUUGGUCAAGUGUUACUGCAUUUCUCUCAAGUAACGGUUAAAUUUGCGACGACUUUACUAAUGGCACCUUCUUUACGAACGCUUGAUAUCAAACAUGAAGAUUUCAUUUUGGAUGCUGUUGAUAUCGUCUUAUCGCCGGAGAACUUGGCCAAUACUUUGUUGGAAUUCCGUCGUACUUUGUCGCGCAUGUGGAGACUUCGGUGGGAUAACGAGCAUAAAGAAGCCUUUUGGAGGCUGGCUCUUGAUGGUUUCCCUGCCUUUCCUAUGCAUAGGGCGCAACGUCAAAGAGGUAUCCCGGCUGCUAUGUGCCCCUGUGGUGUACGCAUGCUUUGUGGGGAUCGUCGGCAUCAUUUCUGGGAUUGUACUGUCGCGUUGGCUCUUCGUGAAGCUCUGCAAAACGAACUUGAGUUCCCUGACCUUUUCAACCGGGCUAACCUGUGGUUGGGCAUUCCACCAACCUGGAUUUGUUCGUGUGUAUGGGAGGUUGUAUGCCUCGCGGCCAUCAGCUCACUCAAUCUCGGUCGCCGUUUGUUGUUUAAGGAAGGUCUCCAGACCAUCAUGCCUAUAUCAACGCCAUCGCUUAACCGCAUUACAUACGAGGUUAUCUCUGACUUUUGGGCCCGUUUAACUGCUUUUGCGGCACGAGAUUACUUGCCAAAACAUUGGGAUCAUGUACCUCACAAUCACCCUUUCUUAUAUGUCAAUGACGCAGACAUGGUUGCUUGCCGUUUACCGAUAUACAAUGACGAAGUUUGAGGGCGCACGUCGGAGCCUCAAUUUUUUGUUUAAGCGUACUAACUGAGGCCGUGUGUCCAGUGAAGUUAGUACGGCCUGGCCGAGUUCUUUUUGAAUAAGGCCCACAGUGUUGUGCGGGAGGCGUUCCUAUGGGCGCUGCACUCGACCCGUUCGGGGUCCACUGUAACAAUCGCAUCCCUUUUAGGAUACAUCCUGUCCAAAGAUCCAAGGAUCCGGACAGGUGCAACUUUACCGGAGGAUAUCACAAUCCUGUGAAAAUGUGCGUGCGUACUUGGAAAGACGAAUUCGGAUACCAUCUGUGAGGGCCCGCAAAUCCAAGACCCAUCCGCACCCGCGUCCCCCUGGGUCCGGCCUCGCUUUCUCAUGCGCUUACCCCGCAAUGCUUCCCGCAUCCCACAACCACACAUAAGGAUCUCAAAAUGCGAAUCAGAUCCGAU
rnacentral:lncRNA from 1 species